CUUCACCGAACCCAGCCACAACGGCCUUCCAUCGGGACGGCCCUGUCCGUAGGUCGCCAACAACGCCUGCGCCUC
rnacentral:antisense_RNA from 1 species